AGUACAAGUUACCAGUUUCUAACACAAGAUUGAAGACCAACCACUAAUGGCAAGUCAAAGUUCGUUGUAUGCCGUGGCAAAUGGAUGCCCACAGAUAAUCUCGUGUAUUGCUAUGUGAAAACGUAAAAGCAGGUUUAGUUUUCUUUCAGUGACACUCCAUGACACGAUCUAUUAGGGAAGGAGUCGGAUUGUUGCCUUGAAAUUUUGCCGCAACACAGAUUGAGUCUCUGUAGAUUAGUAUUAGAGGAUUAUCUGAUGUUUUGCCUGUCUAUCGUUUGCUGUACAUUCUGUUCAUAUGUAGUGCAACCUACUCUAACAGAACACGACAUUGCCACUGAAUCAACGAUAUUUAAGACUUAACAUU